CAUGCAAGUCGAGCGGCAGCGCGGGGGCAACCCUGGCGGCGAGCGGCGGACGGGUGAGUAAUGCAUCGGAACGUGUCCUCUUGUGGGGGAUAACCAGUCGAAAGACUGGCUAAUACCGCAUGAGCUCGUAAGAGGAAAGCAGGGGACCCGCAAGGGCCUUGCGCGAGAGGAGCGGCCGAUGCCCGAUUAGCUAGUUGGUGGGGUAAAAGCUCACCAAGGCGACGAUCGAUAGCUGGUCUGAGAGGAUGAUCAGCCAGACUGGGACUGAGACACGGCCCAGACUCCUACGGGAGGCAGCAGUAGGGAAUUUUCCACAAUGGGCGAAAGCCUGAUGGAGCAACGCCGCGUGCAGGAUGAAUGCCUUAGGGUUGUAAACUGCUUUUAUAUGUGACGAUUAUGACGGUAGCAUAUGAAUAAGGAUCGGCUAACUCCGUGCCAGCAGCCGCGGUCAUACGGAGGAUCCAAGCGUUAUCCGGAAUUACUGGGCGUAAAGAGUUGCGUAGGUGGCAUAGUAAGUAAAUAGUGAAAGCGUGUGGCUCAACCAUACAUCCAUUAUUUAAACUGCUAAGCUAGAGGAUGAGAGAGGUUAUUGGAAUUCCCAGUGUAGGAGUGAAAUCCGUAGAUAUUGGGAGGAACACCGAUGGCGUANGCAGAUAACUGGCUCAUUCCUGACACUAA
rnacentral:rRNA from 1 species